UGGGGGAUAUUGCACAAUGGGGGAAACCCUGAUGCAGCGACGCCGCGUGAGCGAGGAAGUAUUUCGGUAUGUAAAGCUCUAUCAGCAGGGAAGAAAGCAGACGGUACCUGACUAAGAAGCACCGGCUAAAUACGUGCCAGCAGCCGCGGUAAUACGUAUGGUGCAAGCGUUAUCCGGAUUUACUGGGUGUAAAGGGAGCGUAGGCGGCCUCAUAAGUCCGAUGUGAAAGCCCGAGGCCCAACCACGGGACUGCAUUGGAAACUGUGGAGCUGGAGUGUCGGAGGGGCAAGCGGAAUUCCUAGUGUAGCGGUGAAAUGCGUAGAUAUUAGGAGGAACACCGGUGGCGAAGGCGGCUUGCUGGACGAUAACUGACGCUGAGGCUCGAAAGCGUGGGGAGCAAACAGG
rnacentral:rRNA from 1 species